UUCAAAAGAAGUCAGAUUUUUAAUUUAGGAUAGGAGCGCGCCGCCCCCUUCUUCCCCAACAUCUCACGCCUCUCUCUGUCCGUCACCUCUCUCGGUUGGUCAUGGCGUCGCCGGCGAGCGACGCCGGCCACCUAACUCUUCGCUCUCGUUCCUCCUUUCCUCUAUCAAUUUAUCGGUUUUCAUUUUCUAUCUCUCUCUCUCUCUCUCGGUUCAAUUAUUUUGAGUGCAGCGGGGUUUGCUCGGGCAGCGGCGGCACCCCGAGAGGGCAGCAGCUGCACGUGUGUGUGUGUGGCUGCCGUGGGUCGCAGCAGCGGCGCACUCCUCUGGAUGAGACAGCAGGGGCGUGCAGUGGCGACACUGGACAGCUCCGGCAGCGGCAGUGGUUGUGUGUGCGCAAGGCGGCGGAGUUUCAGACCGCACCUCGGGCAAAGGCCCAUCAGGCAGCGCGUUGUUGAAGCGCACAUACCCCUCAAAGCUAAGUCUCAACUUGUUUCUUGGUUGCUCGCUAUGGUUAUCUCAACUAAUUAGGAUUUAUGGUACUUAAGGCUCUACUUGGUUCAUUCUUUCAUUCAAAGGAUAUUGGAGGAGUUAGAACUUGGUCUUCAUGAUAAAUCUUUUUCUUUUUUUUUUCUUGGCACACGAGCUUGAUAAAAAAAAACGUUGGCAUCUAUUAUUGUUGCUAAGAUCAAAAGCAUCAAAGGCUAAAGCAUGAUAUUGAUUCCUAAUAUAAGCAUGCUUGAAAAGUGUCCAUGAAAGAAGUUAAAUAUGCUACGUGAGAUUUGUUGUUGGGAUUUAAUGAGGAAGGAAUGUUGUAAAGGAAAGAAAAUGGUAGGGCUUGCCAUAAUAUUUGAGCAUUCUAUGAUUCUUGUUCAUGCAUGGUCUAAUGAUAUGAAUAGCUAUGAAUAAAUUUGAUGCUUGAAGAUUUUACCUUGAAGAAAUGAGGAAAAAGUAGGGUGGAGAGACUUGGCUCCUCUUCUUCAAGCACUCAUUUGAAGAUCCUCACUUUGAAAUAAAUUUGAUGGUGGUUUAUGGUGGAACAAAAGAUUUAAGAGUAGAGAUAGAGUGGUAUUUAUAGUGGAAAAGGGUACAUAGGAAAAAACAUGGUCAAAUCCCUAAUUCAUGGAAGCAAACUUUUACACAAGAGAUAAUGACUUUUUGCCAAAAGGGCCAUCGGGGUUCAAGGCGUGACUAUUGAGCAAGAUCCGGAGAGCAUGUAGAGUAUUUUUUUUAUUUUUACUCUAAUGUUGAACUCGAUGUAGAACUUUUAUUUGAAGCUCGGUCUUUAAA